UUAGGGGGAGGGGGAGAGCAAAAAGUAAAGCGUAAGGGAAUACAUGUUGUCAAUAAAGAAUAUAUGGUUUUAUAUAUAACUACAUAAAUAUUUAUGAUAAAAAGUUAUAUUAUGAUUACAAUCCAUCUCUGUGAAUUGAAGUAACCCAUUUUUCCGAUGACAUUCUUAAUUUAACUAAACAUACGAAAUGAGGACUUAGUAAAAUCAUUCAAUCGUUUAAUAAAGGAAAUUUGGAUUAAAUUUCUAUGGAAAAUCAUGCAUAAAAUUCAUUGAUUACAAAAGAUGGCAAUUAUAGGGUCCAAAUGUUUAUUAAUGAAAUGCAGUAAGGAACGGAAUUUAUCUUUGGCUGCAUACUCCAAAACUAAUUUCAGUUUUUCUCUCAGGCAUCUAGUUCUGAAAAAUCUGGGAUUAUAGUAAUAUUCUCUUUUAAAUACAUUUUUCACCAUUAAGAGAAUCACCAAAUCGAUUUAUAAAACAUUUUAAGUUUUUAUAAUAUUCAGUCCUGCUAUGAAUGAAGAAAAUAAAAAUUAUCAAAGAUGGUAUGACUGAAAGACCGAUGUAUCAGUCCUUAGUGCCGUUGAAUGGUAAAGAAGAUUGAACUUAAAACAAAAAAUAAAAAAAAGACUGAUUAAACCAACAGUCCUAGUACUGAGCCAACAAUAGUUUGAUGUAAUUUUCUGUAUUACUACAUCACUUUUCAUCAUAUUGGAGUAUCACUCUCUGGAGAAUUUAGGGUCUCAAUAUCAAUAUUUAAUUAUUAAAUUAUCUUAAUACUAAACGCAUACGAUGUGACAAAACUUUAUAAAAAAACGAUUGUUUCAGUAUUUUGACACUAAAAGAUUGAUUAAUUGCCUUGACAAUUGUAUAGCAUAUUCAUAUGACAUUAACACUAUUUUAUUCUACAAUUUAAUUGUUAAUGCUUAAUAAAUUCAUAAAUUGA
rnacentral:lncRNA from 1 species